GGUGGCAUGGAGGGGCCGUGGGCUGCCACGGGCGGGGACGUCUCCCUGCACAACUUCAGCGCGAGGCUGUGGGAGCAGCUGGUGCACUUCCACGUCAUGCGGCUGACGGACUCGCUCUUCCUUUGGGUGGGGGCCACGCCGCACCUGCGCAACCUGGCCGUGGCCAUGUGCAGCUGCUUCGACUCCAUCCCUGUGUCCACCUCCCUCCUUGGAGACACUUCGGACACGACCUCCACUGGCCUUGCCCAGCGCUUAGCCAGGAAGACCAACAAGCAGGUGUUUGUCAGCUAUAACCUACAAAAUACAGACAAUAACUUCGCGUUACUUGUAGAAAACAGGAUCAAGGAAGAAAUGGAGGCUUUUCCGGAAAAGUUCUAGCUGAGGCGGAAGUGAGGAUUUCUAACUUAUGUACAAUAUACAUUUAAAUAAAUGAGUUGAAUUCCAAAAAAAAAAAAAAAAAA